GUAGCUGGUUAGUAUAUAACUGCAGGAGAUGCAGCUGUACUAACACAGAGGCCCCUAUCCACCCAGAGGCACUGAUAACCCUGCGGGAAGAAUAGCUCACAGUCUACAUAUUGAUGCAUCCUCAAAUAUAAAGUCAAUGGAGCAGCAAUGGGCUCAGCUGGCUUGGGAAGAGCUGCCAGAUUUUCAGAACAAUGCCAC